AACGCUAGCUACAGGCUUAACACAUGCAAGUCGAGGGGCAGCAUGGUCUUAGCUUGCUAAGGCCGAUGGCGACCGGCGCACGGGUGAGUAACACGUAUCCAACCUGCCGUCUACUCUUGGACAGCCCUCUGAAAGGAAGAUUAAUACAAGAUGGCAUCAUGAGUCCGCAUGUUCACAUGAUUAAAGGUAUUCCGGUAGACGAUGGGGAUGCGUUCCAUUAGAUAGUAGGCGGGGUAACGGCCCACCUAGUCUUCGAUGGAUAGGGGUUCUGAGAGGAAGGUCCCCCACAUUGGAACUGAGACACGGUCCAAACUCCUACGGGAGGCAGCAGUGAGGAAUAUUGGUCAAUGGGCGAGAGCCUGAACCAGCCAAGUAGCGUGAAGGAUGACUGCCCUAUGGGUUGUAAACUUCUUUUAUAAAGGAAUAAAGUCGGGUAUGGAUACCCGUUUGCAUGUACUUUAUGAAUAAGGAUCGGCUAACUCCGUGCCAGCAGCCGCGGUAAUACGGAGGAUCCGAGCGUUAUCCGGAUUUAUUGGGUUUAAAGGGAGCGUAGAUGGAUGUUUAAGUCAGUUGUGAAAGUUUGCGGCUCAACCGUAAAAUUGCAGUUGAUACUGGAUAUCUUGAGUGCAGUUGAGGCAGGCGGAAUUCGUGGUGUAGCGGUGAAAUGCUUAGAUAUCACGAAGAACUCCGAUUG
rnacentral:rRNA from 1 species